rnacentral:rRNA from 2 species
UGUAUGUCAUUACCACAUUGAUAUUUCAUUCUAUGUUGCUUCCACCUCCUAGAAUUCUUGGUGGUGGGAGGUUUUUUCAUCUUACUUUUCUUGCUUAGGCUGUUGAUUUGUCUGAAUAUGAGGGAAAAUGCUACAAAACUUUCAACAACGGAUCUCUUGGCUCCUGCAUCGAUGAAGAACGCAGCGAAAUGCGAUAAUUAAUGUGAAUUGCAGAAUUCCGUGAAUCAUCGAGUCUUUGAACGCACAUUGCGCCUCAUGGCAUUCCGUGAGGCAUGCCCAUCUCAGCGUUAGUAAAUAUUAUCAAAUUUUAGUGCUGUGCUGAAAUUUGGAUGAUGUCAAAGAAGCUAUUACUAUUAUUGUGAUAUCUCUUUGGAAAUCAAUAGGUCUUCAAGUUGCUAUUCAUGGAACGUGAUGAAAAUUACUUCGUUCUAUUGUAGUUGGCUUGUAUAGUCCUAAAACUUGUAUGCCUCUGGCAUCUCUUCUGAUUUAACCUGAGAUUGGGUAGGGAUACCCGCUGAACUUAAGCAUAUCA